rnacentral:rRNA from 1 species
CGAAGCUGCGGCAGCGACACUAUGUGUUGUUGGGUAGGGGAGCGUUCUGUAAGCCGUUGAAGGUGGCCUGUGAGGGUUGCUGGAGGUAUCAGAAGUGCGAAUGCUGACAUAAGUAACGAUAAAGCGGGUGAAAAGCCCGCUCGCCGGAAGACCAAGGGUUCCUGUCCAACGUUAAUCGGGGCAGGGUGAGUCGACCCCUAAGGCGAGGCCGAAAGGCGUAGUCGAUGGGAAACAGGUUAAUAUUCCUGUACUUGGUGUUACUGCGAAGGGGGGACGGAGAAGGCUAGGCUGGCCGGGCGACGGUUGUCCCGGUUUAAGCGUGUAGGGGGUGUGACCUGGUAAAUCCGGUUGCAUACUAACCCUGAGGCGUGAUGACGAUGCACUACGGUGCAGAAGUAGUUGAUGCCCUGCUUCCAGGAAAAUCCUCUAAGCUCCAGGUAACAUUAAAUCGUACCCCAAACCGACACAGGUGGUCAGGUAGAGAAUACCAAGGCGCUUGAGAGAACUCGGGUGAAGGAACUAGGCAAAAUGGUGCCGUAACUUCGGGAGAAGGCACGCUGGUGUGUAGGUGAAGUCCCUGCGGAUGGAGCUGAGACCAGUCGAAGAUACCAGCUGGCUGCAACUGUUUAUUAAAAACACAGCACUGUGCAAACACGAAAGUGGACGUAUACGGUGUGACGCCUGCCCGGUGCUGGAAGGUUAAUUGAUGGGGUCAGCCGCAAGGCGAAGCUCUUGAUCGAAGCCCCAGUAAACGGCGGCCGUAACUAUAACGGUCCUAAGGUAGCGAAAUUCCUUGUCGGGUAAGUUCCGACCUGCACGAAUGGCGUAAUGAUGGCCAGGCUGUCUCCACCCGAGACUCAGUGAAAUUGAACUCGCUGUGAAGAUGCAGUGUACCCGCGGCAAGACGGAAAGACCCCGUGAACCUUUACUAUAGCUUGACACUGAACAUUGAGCCUUGAUGUGUAGGAUAGGUGGGAGGCUUUGAAGCGUGGACGCCAGUCUGCGUGGAGCCAACCUUGAAAUACCACCCUUUAAUGUUUGAUGUUCUAACGUUGGCCCCUGACCGGGGUUGCGGACAGUGUCUGGUGGGUAGUUUGACUGGGGCGGUCUCCUCCCAAAGAGUAACGGAGGAGCACGAAGGUUAGCUAAUCACGGUCGGACAUCGUGAGGUUAGUGCAAAGGCAUAAGCUAGCUUGACUGCGAGAGUGACGGCUCGAGCAGGUACGAAAGUAGGUCUUAGUGAUCCGGUGGUUCUGAAUGGAAGGGCCAUCGCUCAACGGAUAAAAGGUACUCCGGGGAUAACAGGCUGAUACCGCCCAAGAGUUCAUAUCGACGGCGGUGUUUGGCACCUCGAUGUCGGCUCAUCACAUCCUGGGGCUGAAGUAGGUCCCAAGGGUAUGGCUGUUCGCCAUUUAAAGUGGUACGCGAGCUGGGUUUAGAACGUCGUGAGACAGUUCGGUCCCUAUCUGCCGUGGGCGUUGGAAGAUUGAGAGGGGUUGCUCCUAGUACGAGAGGACCGGAGUGAACGCACCACUGGUGUUCGGGUUGUCAUGCCAAUGGCAUUGCCCGGUAGCUAAGUGCGGAAAAGAUAAGCGCUGAAAGCAUCUAAGCGCGAAACUUGCCUCAAGAUGAGUCUUCCCUGGGCCUUCAAGGCCCCUGAAGGAACGUUUAAGACUAAGACGUUGAUAGGCUGGGUGUGUAAGUGCAGCGAUGCAUUGAGCUAACCAGUACUAAUGAUCCGUGAGGCUUAACCUU